GUCGGUGAGCAAGGGGCUCACGGGGGGGUCCGGGGGGAUUCUGUGGCCGGAGCACGAGCUGGGGAUGAGCUCUGGGCUGGGAGCACAUCCCGUGUCCCUGCCCGUGGCAGGGGUGGGACCAGGUAAUCGCUUAUGGUGCCUUCCAGCCCGAAGCAUCCCGUGAGUUUCUGUUUGACUUUGCAGCCUCGCAAGAUUGAGGAGAUCAAGGACUUCCUGCUGACGGCGCGGCGGAAGGACGCCAAGUCUGUCAAGAUCAAGAAGAACAAGGACAAUGUGAAGUUCAAGGUGCGCUGCAGCCGGUACCUCUACACCCUGGUCAUCACCGACAAGGAGAAGGCCGAGAAGCUGAAGCAGUCCCUGCCCCCAGGUCUGGCCGUGAAGGAGCUGAAAUGAGCUGGGGUGAGCUGGGUACCUGUUGGAUUCUCUGUUUGUUAAAAUAAAUAAAAAACUGUUCCCGGUGUCACGUUUGGUGUUUCACAACCUGCUCUUCCUGGCCCUGGAGCCACUCCAGGGCUCUCAGAGCUGCACUGGGGGUCCCGGGGCUGGUGUGGGUCAGUGCUCCCAGCAGGGAGGCCAUGGGUCCACUUCUGGUACCGUGUGGGCACGGGGGAGUCCCCAGAUCCGGAGCCAGCCCCUCACUCGUGGGUGGCCCUGGGCUGACAGCUGGGCACGGGACCUGUGGCACCUGGGGCUGGCACACAGGGCCACCAGCGUGUCCCAUGGGCGGUGUCCUUUACAGCACCUGGUCCCUAUAGCAGGAGGAGUAUGGGGUGCCGUGGCCCCACAGCAGGAGGUUCGGGGUGCGGUGCCCCCACAGCAGUGCCCCACGGCUGCGGUGCCCGAUGGGUGCGGGGCCCGAUGGGUGCGGUGUCCAAUGGGUACAGGGCCCGAUGGAUGCGGUGCCCCACGGCUGCGGUGCCCGAUGGAUGCGG
rnacentral:lncRNA from 13 species